GAUGAAGAACGCAGCGAAAUGCGAUACUUGGUGUGAAUUGCAGAAUCCCGUGAACCAUCGAGUCUUUGAACGCAAGUUGCGCCCGAAGCCAUUAGGCCGAGGGCACGCCUGCCUGGGCGUCACACGUCGUUGCCCCCCCAUCUACUCCUUCGGGAUUGCGGGGGGCGGAUGAUGGCCUCUCGUGCGCCUCGUCGCGCGGUUGGCCUAAAUGCCAAGUCCUCGGCGACGCACGCCACGACAAUCGGUGGUUGCGAAACCUCGGUUGCCUGUCGUGUGCGGUCGUCGCGCAUCGAGGGCUCGAAAAAAUUGCCGGGCUUCGGCUCGACUUUCAACGCGACCCCAGGUCAGGCGGGGUUACCCGCUGAAUUUAAGCAUAUCAAAACGGAGGA
rnacentral:misc_RNA from 1 species